CACGUUUGACAUGUCUAGUUUGGUCGGCAGAGAUGCCUUCCUUCAGUUCGGCUGGCUAGAACACAGGUGCUGCAUGGCUGUCGUCAGCUCGUGUCGUGAGAUGUUGGGUUAAGUCCCGCAACGAGCGCAACCCUCGCUACUAGUUGCUACCAGGUUAAGCUGAGCACUCUAGUGGAACUGCCGGUGCAAGCCGGAGGAAGGUGGGAUGACGUCAAGUCCUCAUCGG
rnacentral:rRNA from 1 species